UCUGGUUGAUCCUGCCAGUAGUCAUAUGCUUGUCUCAAAGAUUAAGCCAUGCAUGUCUAAGUACAAACCUUAAUACGGUGAAACCGCGAAUGGCUCAUUAAAUCAGCUAUGGUUCCUUAGAUCGUCUCAUCCUACUCGGAUAACUGUGGAAAAUCUAGAGCUAAUACGUGCUUACAAGCCCUGACCUCACGGGGGGCGCAUUUAUUAGAUCAAAACCAAUCGGGGCUUGCCCCGUCUGCUUGGUGACUCUGGAUAACUUUUGUGCUGAUCGCAUGGCCUCUGCGCUGGCGACGUAUCUUUCAAGUGUCUGCCCUAUCAACUUACGAUGGUAGGUGAUAUGCCUACCAUGGUUAUAACGGGUAACGGGGAAUCAGGGUUCGAUUCCGGAGAGGGAGCCUGAGAAACGGCUACCACAUCUAAGGAAGGCAGCAGGCGCGCAAAUUACCCACUCCCGGCACGGGGAGGUAGUGACGAAAAAUAACGAUACGGGACUCUUUUGAGGCCCCGUAAUUGGAAUGAGUACACUUUAAAUCCGUUAACAAGUAUCUAUUGGAGGGCAAGUCUGGUGCCAGCAGCCGCGGUAAUUCCAGCUCCAAUAGCGUAUAUUAAUGUUGCUGCAGUUAAAAAGCUCGUAGUUGGAUCUGAGGACUCGAAUUGGUGGUGCACCAUACGGUGUUACUGCCGAUUCGGCCUACCUAGUCGGUGCUCGCUCUUGGUGUUCUUAAUUGAAUGCCCUGAGUGCCCGGCAAGUUUACUUUGAAAAAAUUAGAGUGCUCAAAGCAGGCCAUUAGCCGGAAUACUUCAGCAUGGAAUAAUGGAAUAGGACUUCGGUUCUAUUUUGUUGGUUUUCGGAACCCGAGGUAAUGAUUAAGAGAGACAGACGGGGGCAUUCGUACUGCGGUGUUAGAGGUGAAAUUCUUGGAUCGCCGCAAGACGAACAACUGCGAAAGCAUUUGCCAAGAAUGUUUUCAUUAAUCAAGAACGAAAGUCAGAGGUUCGAAGACGAUCAGAUACCGUCCUAGUUCUGACCAUAAACGAUGCCAACUGGCGAUCCGAGAUCGUUUGCUUAUUGACCUCUCGGGCAGCCUCCGGGAAACCAAAGUUUUUAGGUUCCGGGGAAGUAUGGUUGCAAAGCUGGAACUGUUCAAUUGCAACUCUGCCUGUGACACCAAGUGGUCGGGUUACUUGGUCUGUUCUGGCCCGGAGUCGGUAGGGUUUCCGGCCUUGUGCUCUUUCCUUACUGUUCUCUGUAACGCCGAAGGCGGGCUUCCACGGUGGGGAAGCGGUUGUACAAAUCCGGCAAAUCCAGCCAAAUGGGUUCCGGACUCUGUCCAACCUGCAACUGGUAACAGCCUCGGCUGGCUAACAUUUGAGCUGGGACUCGCUUGGGAGGAGCGAGGAAUAUAAACCUCUAUGUGACUGAGGUGAGGAAUCUGGUUCUCGUAAAAUGGCUGGAGAUCCCGAGCCUGUAAGUCAUAAAUUAGUUCCCCCACGAGGGAGGUGUCGAAUUGAAGCCAGUGCGUGCCCUUACUAGUUUAAGGGAUUGUAUACUUCCUUUGGUGUACCCACCUGGAAGUGCCCAAGGGGUCCUAUCCCUGCACUCCAUCCCCGAUUGGAGUCAGGUGACGGCUCCUUA
rnacentral:rRNA from 1 species